UACGUAGGGGGCAAGCGUUGUCCGGAUUUAUUGGGCGUAAAGAGCGUGUAGGCGGCCAGGUAGGUCUGCUGUGAAAACUCGAGGCUUAACCUCGAGCUGUCGGCGGAAACCAUCUGGCUAGAGUCCGGAAGAGGAGAAUGGAAUUCCCGGUGUAGCGGUGAAAUGCGCAGAUAUCGGGAAGAACACCCGUGGCGAAGGCGGUUCUCGUGGGACGUACUGGACG
rnacentral:rRNA from 1 species